rnacentral:rRNA from 1 species
AUUGAACGCUGGCGGCGUGCCUAACACAUGCAAGUCGGACGAGUGGCGAACGGGUGAGUAACGUAUCGGAACGUACCGAGUAGAGGGGGAUAACUGACAGAAACGACAGCUAAUACCGCAUAACAUUAGAUCGGCCGAUGUCGGAUUAGCUGGUGGGCGGGGUAAAGGCCCACCAAGGCGACGAUCAGUAGCGGGUCUGAGAGGAUGACCCGCCACACUGGGACUGAGACACGGCCCAGACUCCUACGGGAGGCAGCAGUGGGGAAUAUUGGACAAUGGGCGCAAGCCUGAUCCAGCCAUGCCGCGUGUGUGAAGAAGGCCUUCGGGUUGUAAAGGACUGUUGGCGGGGAGGCGGUACCUGAAGAAUAAGCACCGGCUAACUACGUGCCAGCAGCCGCGGUAAUUC